GACAGAGGGUGCAAACGUUGUUCGGAAUUACUGGGCGUAAAGCGCGUGUAGGCGGCUAAGUAAGUCGGGCGUGAAAUCCCACGGCUCAACCGUGGAAGUGCACUCGAAACUGCAUAGCUAGAGUCCUGGAGAGGAAGGUGGAAUGCUUGGUGUAGAGGUGAAAUUCGUAGAUAUCAAGCGGAACACCGGUGGCGAAGGCGGCCUUCUGGACAGUGACUGACGCUGAGACGCGAAAGCGUGGGGAACAAACAGG
rnacentral:rRNA from 1 species